GAUGAACGCUGGCGGCGUGCCUAAUGCAUGCAAGUCGAGCGAACAGACGAGGAGCUUGCUCCUCUGACGUUAGCGGCGGACGGGUGAGUAACACGUGGAUAACCUACCUAUAAGACUGGGAUAACUUCGGGAAACCGGAGCUAAUACCGGAUAAUAUAUUGAACCGCAUGGUUCAAUAGUGAAAGACGGUUUUGCUGUCACUUCUAGAUGGAUCCGCGCCGCAUUAGCUAGUUGGUAAGGUAACGGCUUACCAAGGCAACGAUGCGUAGCCGACCUGAGAGGGUGAUCGGCCACACUGGAACUGAGACACGGUCCAGACUCCCACGGGAGGCAGCAGUAGGGAAUCUUCCGCAAUGGGCGAAAGCCUGACGGAGCAACGCCGCGUGAAUGAUGAAGGUCUUCGGAUCGUAAAACUCUGUUAUUAGGGAAGAACAAAUGUGUAAGUAACUAUGCACGUCUUGACGGUACCUAAUCAGAAAGCCACGGCUAACUACGUG
rnacentral:rRNA from 1 species